UACGUAGGGUGCGAGCGUUAAUCGGAAUUACUGGGCGUAAAGCGUGCGCAGGCGGUUUUGUAAGCCAGAUGUGAAAGCCCCGGGCUUAACCUGGGAAUGGCAUUUGGGACUGCAAGGCUAGAGUGCGGCAGAGGAGACUGGAAUUCCUGGUGUAGCAGUGAAAUGCGCAGAUAUCAGGAGGAACACCGGUGGCGAAGGCGGGUCUCUGGGCCGAUACUGACGCUGAGGAGCGAAAGCGUGGGGAGCGAACAGG
rnacentral:rRNA from 1 species